rnacentral:rRNA from 1 species
UACGUAGGGUGCAAGCGUUGUUCGGAAUUACUGGGCGUAAAGGGCGCGUAGGCGGUGCAUCAAGUCAGGCGUGAAAGCCCCGGGCUCAACCUGGGAACCGCGCUUGAGACUGGUGCGCUAGAGUUCGGGAGAGGAUGGUGGAAUUCCCAGUGUAGAGGUGAAAUUCGUAGAUAUUGGGAAGAACACCGAUGGCGAAGGCAGCCAUCUGGACCGACACUGACGCUGAGGCGCGAAAGCGUGGGGAGCAAACAGG